CUCAGGAGGAGGAUGUUCAGGAGAGGGGAAUUUACAGACACAGCACAGAAGAAAUUUCCAGGUGUACCAAUGAAAGUUAUCAGGGCAGCACUCGGAAAAAUUAAAUGAUGAGCACAAGUUACAAGUAAGUUCAGAGGACAAAUAGAAAGAUCUACAGUCUUUAUUUGAGAUGAUCAAGUGUGUCUCUGGAACAGGGUGUCCGCGAGGUCUUAAAAAGUUGAUAAAUCAAUUAUGAGAAAAUUGAGGCCCUUAAAAGCGUGCUCGAUCCACACGAUUGUUUCGGACUGGGGUGCGUCUGGCCAAGCUUCUCCAUCCGGAUGAUGUCACGUAAUUUGCGACAAAUGCGGGAAGGUGAUGUGAUGCUCUCCACAUGUAGCGAAACAGACAGCAAAAUGGGAAAAUGUUAGUUUGCGUA